CGUGAAUUCAGUGUCACCAACCUGUGUCCAUUUGGCGGGAAGUGGAAGUAGAGCUUUUUGUUUAUUAUUAUUUGUUGAGGUUGAGUCUUUCAUGUUCAUGACAACCUAAAAAUUUUGAUUGGAAAAUGCAUAUAAGAUAAGGGGGUGGGAAAAUGGAAAUUAGUGGCUUUUUUGCAGUUCUGUCUGUUAGUUUUGCUCUGGCUGGGUCUCUUUUGUUUAAACAAUUAUAAUCAGCUGAAAGUGGUCUACAAAAAAACCAGGAAGGAAACGUAUUAUAGCCUUGUUGUGGCUAUGAAAGGCAAAAGAAAGAUACCUAUAAAAAGUGUAUUGACUAGUUGGAAGAAACUCCACAUUGUCGAUGCAUAAUAAGAUAUUACUUUAUAAACAAAUAUCAAGACCUAGGAAUGGAACCUGGAUAAUAUAGUCAUCAAGAAGAUAGCAGGAGGUCAUGAGCAACAACAACUUCAUAAGUAUGAGAAUAUUGAGGAAAUCCAGCUCCUCGAUAUCUACUACUGGACAAACUAGAAGAUUGAAGAGGACAAAGCCUUUUGAACUAGUUUGAGUGAUAGGUGAUAGUGAAAAGCAGAGCGUAGUGCUUGUGUGCCUGUGUAUGUUAGAAUAGUGCACGAUCUUGUUAGAUUAGAUAAGAGACGCUAUAGGGUAAGCUCUUCAUUUUAAGGAACAGUAGUAAUUUAGGUUAAAUUAAAAUUGCUCAUUGGUCAGUUAUGACCAGAUUGUAAUUCUCUGAUGUUUGGCAAAAAGGGCUGAAGUCAGAAUUGCACAUCAAUAAUGUUUUGAUGAUUUCUGGACCAUAAAAAAAGUGUUGCAGACUUAAACUGUAUGUACCAAUAAAAAGAGCCGAUUUUUCUGGUCCAGAAAUCAUCAAAACAUUAUCGAUGUGCAAUUCUGACUUAAGCCCUUUUUCCCAAACAUCAGAGAAUUGCAAUGUACAAUUCAAUACAAAUGAAUCAUCAUCGUAGUGAUGAUUAUGGAAAAAAAUAUAUAUAUAUAGAAAUAUAUAUAUUUUGUGCAAUAAAAAUGUUUAUAUUUA
rnacentral:lncRNA from 1 species